CAGUCGCCGCGGGAAUACGUAGGUGGCAAGCGUUGUCCGGAAUUAUUGGGCGUAAAGGGCUCGCAGGCGGUUUCUUAAGUCUGAUGUGAAAGCCCCCGGCUCAACCGGGGAGGGUCAUUGGAAACUGGGAAACUUGAGUGCAGAAGAGGAGAGUGGAAUUCCACGUGUAGCGGUGAAAUGCGUAGAGAUGUGGAGGAACACCAGUGGCGAAGGCGACUCUCUGGUCUGUAACGGACGCUGAGGAGCGAAAGCGUGGGGAGCGAACAGGAUUAGAUACCCCAGUAGUCCCUGUCUCUUAUAC
rnacentral:rRNA from 1 species